CGACGCCAUUAUGAUUGUUAUAACUUAUAUUGAUACUAAUUAUAAUAUAUUUUCGUCAUUAAUUUCCCAAUUUGUUCUUUAUCUAUUGACGAUAUCCGAACUUCGGAGCAUGUAGAUGUCACAUUUUGUUAUGUGAAUGUGGAAGAAGGAAGUAGAAUUGAAAUGUUGCUCGAAAAUGGUUGUUCGGUGUUACUAUUCUCUAGGACAACUGGAUUCAUUAGGAAACAUACUCCUUCUUUUAAAUGGUUUGAUUACUAAUGUAACGUAAGACAAUGUGUCCCGAAUUCGGUAACCUAUAAUGGGAUGGUGAAGCGGUGUUUGCAAUAUUUGUUUUGAUCAUUCUCAAGAAUUGGCCUCAUUAUUCAGAGAUGCUAUAGAUAAAAAUCUUUUGGCUCAUUUGAUUUAAAUAAUAACGACACUAUGCUCCUUAAUAGUGUCGUUAUUAUGGACGUCGUUAAAGUGGACGCAGAGAUUACAAUACGAGGGUUGAAUACGCAAAAAAUUAACAAAAAUCUGUUACGUUAUUGACUGUCGACUUUUCUAAGUUGUUCAAAUCCCUUCUCGUCAAUUCAAAUGGAAAAGACAGAUUUCCUUUCUCUAUAUAAAGUUAACCUUUUUACUAUUGAGAAUGAAGGAAAAUGAACAUCCAAUAUGUAUAUUUUUGAUGAGUCUGAGCUGGAAAUUUUUUGUCUUUGUAAUCAUGUUCUAAAAUGAUCUUAGGAAACUAUUCAGAAAGGCUCAAAUUGUGUGGCAUCCCUCUUAUAUCAUGAAUUGCAGCGUAAAUGUGGUGUUAUGCAUCUUAAAAUUCAAUGUGAAAAUUUUUGAGGCCAGAAUAAAAAUUAUAUAAUUACGGCUUUUGCAGCAUACAUGGUGCAUUUGAUGAAGUUUCUAUACACUUUCUUGUUGAAAAUAGUUCAAAGUUUUCGCCACACCGAAGCUUCUGCUUAAUUUCCAAUAUUAUAAUCCACAAAAAAUUGAAUGUGUGGAAUAUUUAGUAGAAGUUGUCGUCAAAUCAUCUACAAAAUUAUAAGAAGAGUGAAAUUUUUAGACAAGUAUUUCUGCCUUCUAAAAUGAAUAAAAAUCACUUUCACCUUGAAAUCUACUUCUCCUGGAUUUGUACGAUUUGUUCACAAACUCUUUCUGUGAACUUAUUAAAACAUGGAAUUUUGUCCAGUGAAUUGCCUCUCUCGAUUCCUGAAGAGUAUAUUACAAAGAAAAAAAACUUAUCGGAGGAAAAAAUAGAAUAUUUUAUGAUGAAUGUCGUUCCUUUGCAUUCUUGUAAUGAGAAGAAACAAAUUUAUUUUAAAUCUAUAAAAAAUGAAACGAACUUAUCCAACAAAUAAUUAAUAUAUUAAUUUUCCUUAACAUAGCGAUAUUUUGCCUACGUUCCCUUUUUCUCCUAUAUCUGUCAAUUUAUCCAAAGGUUCUUCAUCAUUUUUAUCUUCACCAUCUAAUUAUUUGGGAGAAGAUACUCCCAAAUAACUGCAGUAUCGUCUAAUUUAUUACAAGACUCAGACUAUUUUGAUUGUACAUUUAACUUAUCAACCCAUUCAUAUCCAGAACAAGGACUCACGUAAAUAUGCAACUGAUCUGUUUAAAUCACAUGGAAAAAGAAAGAAAAGGUGUUUUUUAUGCGAAGGGUGUGAUUUGCAUAGUAAAUAUUUCAAGGGGAUAAAAAAAUGUGGAAAUUGUAAACAUUGCAGGAAAAAAUAUCUUAAAAAAUUCUGUAAUUAUAUGUACCAAACGACAACCUGAUAACCUCUGGUUAUCAGUUGUCAUUUUAUCA
rnacentral:lncRNA from 1 species